CACACUCCUGAAAAGGGGAUUGCACAGAGGCACAAAGACCUCUGGUGUUUCCAGUCUGGGUAGACUGGCUGUCACCACUGGGGCACUGGUGGGCACCUGUGAGCUGAUGAGUGGGACCAAACGGCUCUGGCCACCUUGGACCCCAUUCCUCCCAGGCUUUGUCUCUCCCUGAGCCCUGCGCUUGAGAACAUUAAAAGCCAUGCCUUGGACCCCCUUGUUCUGAGUCCUGCCAUGGGCCGUGAGGACAGCCGGCCACUCUUCCUGGUGAGCAGAUUGUCACUCGGCUCCAGCUGCACGUCCAGCUCUUCCGCUGUUUUGCUCACGGUAAAUGCGUCACUGGAGAAGGGAAGGUGGAUUUUUGCGGUUCCACGUGCCUGGCACAAGGAUAUCAUUUGAAAUACAAAGAGUAUGAGAAAGACGUUGCCAUAGAAGAAAUCGAUGGCCUCCAACUGGUAAAGAAGCUGGCAAAGAACAUGGAAGAGAUGUUUCACAAGA
rnacentral:sRNA from 1 species